rnacentral:lncRNA from 1 species
GUGAGUGAAAAAAUCUAUAAAAAAAAGUUGAUAGUAAAAUUGAGAAGUUGAAUAUUACGGUUUAAAUAUGAUUGUAUGUAUGUAUUUUUUUUUUAGAUUUUAUAUAAAAGUAUAAACAAACGAAAAUAUCCUCUAAAUGAUAUUUUUUUUGUUUUGUAAAAAUAAUGAAGUUUUGGUAAUUUUACAACUAAGUUUUCUAUUGGAUGACACUAAAUUAAAAAUGAUAAAAAAUUAUUAUUUUUCAUUUGCAAAUCAACUACAAACAAAAUAUUUCAUUUGUAGAACUAUUGAGGUUGAAAAAGUUCUCGGACCACAACAAUGAGAGCAUUGUUUCUCAAGUGUGAAGGGAUAUUGGUGAGCCAAGGCGAAAUGUUUUCAAAGAUGACCUUAGAUGGCAACAACGUUCCAGAUGAUUCUGGAUGAGGUGUCAGGACGACGUGUGAACUUUAAGAGAUGAUCUCGAGAUGGUUACAAAUGGGAUGAGGAGCUAUGGGAGAGCUUCAAGAUGAUUCGAUGGGUGAUCUUGUUGCUAAGGUCCUUCCUGAGGUAGUGAAUCAUCAGAGAUAGCCUUGGAGAUGAUUGAGUGAGAUGAUUCUGAUGUGACUUAGCCUCCCGACAGAGUAGAUCACUAAGUUAGUCCUUGAUGAGAUCAUGAAAGAUUUCCAUGAUCUCAUAGGAGAUGAUCAAUUGAGAUGACCAUAGGAGAUAAUCAAGUGAGAUGAUCCUGACGAGGUUUGGCCCUUUGGUGUAUUAUUUAUUAUGUCAAAUACAGAAAAAAAGAAAGAGAUAUGCGAUAGGAUUAUAUAAUAAAUAUUGUUUAUUUAGUUUCCAUUUUCCAAGAGAGCUUGGAAAGUAAAAAAAGAAGGUUUGAAUGUAAUUUGUCCAAGUUCAAACUUUUUUAAAAAAUAUUUAUUAUAUAUGGUUGAAUCGGCUUACAACCUAUUGAAUAAGCGGACAAAAAAUUACUGAUUUGGUCGAUUUAACUAAUAGUUUGAUCUUGAAAACCAUGCCCAACAUAGCAAAUCAACUAACUUGUCCUCUAGAUAUGAUCUCAACAUGGCUAGGCUUCCCUUGGGGUAGCAAAUCCACUAAGCUAGCCUAUGGAGAUUAUCUCAACGUGGCUAGACUUUUCCCAGCAUAGAGGAUCAACUAACUUGGCUUCUAAUGAUGAUGUCAACGUGGCUAGGCUUCUCCCAGCGUAGCGGAUCGACUAAGUUAGACUCUCGGGAGAUGAUCAGGUUGAUCUCAGACUAUGGAGACUUCAAGGACGUCUGUAGAGAAAGGGAUAAUGUUAGCGGGCACCAGAGGACUUCCGAGGCAUACUCCAACUCAACUCAAUGAUCAGGUAUAACUUAAUGCAAGAAAAGAAGUUUUGAAAAAGAGGGGUAGAAGAUGCUUUUCAAUUGCUAUGUAGUGAAGUAUGACUGGUCUUUCUGUGAAUGGCAGUGAAUCCUUCCAUUUAUAGCCAAUGGUGUAGUAACUUGGUGCCAUGUGACGUUUCAUCAUUAGCUUGGUGUUGAGGUAUCUUUCUGAGGUGCAUUGAACCUUUGUCAAGUGGUUUUGCAAGUGGGAACCAGGUCUUAGAGGGUCUUCCGUUUGGGGCCUUGCCUUGGGCCUCGCCCAAGGCUUGUCUUGGUGAGCUUUCGUUGGAUUAGCCAUGUUGGGUGCUUUCGAGAUCAUCUUGAGGGUUUUGGUUGUCCGUUACCUUCUGUUAUCAACUUUUAUUUUCAUCCCAACAGGAACCAUAAAAUAUUUAAAGAUAUCAACUUUGUUAAAUAGUAGAUGAAAUUUUUUAAAUUGUAAAUGUUAAUUAUGUUAAAAUUUUACUUUAUUUGAUUUUUUUAAAAAAUACUUGGAUUAAAUUAAUUCAGUUAAUUGUAAAGGGACUAAUUUGAUAAAGAUCUUAUAAUAGAGGAACAUGUCAAGUAAUUUCAACCAUGUAUAUUAUAUUUUAAUUUUGAUUGAGUUGAUCCAAUCACCAAUUCAAUUAAUAUAUGACUAAAAAAUCUUUCAUUUUUAAAAAGUUACAAAAUUUAAUAUAAGAGCGAUUUUAUUUUAUUUUUUUAUAUUUUUAUAUAAAAUUAAUAAAAAAAAUGUUUAAACCCAAUAUAGGAUUCGACAUGAAACUCCAAUAUUUUCAAGGAAUUAAAUUUUCCAUUUAAACUAAAAUUUCAUUUGAUUUUAACAUCAAAAUUUUAAAUAAAAUAUAGUUUUUGUGUAUUUUUUUUUCACACUGUACAUGUCAUAAUAUAGUAUAUCUAUACUAUAAUAAAAAUCCUAAUUGAGUUAAUGUUAUAAAUUAAUUGGGUACUAACUUAGUUAAAAAUGACUAAAUUACCUUUUUUAAACAAAUAAAAAUAUAAUUAUAGGUGCAUUUAUGUCUUUUAAUAAUUUAUACAAAAAUUUUAAAAGAAAUAUUUUAAAAUAAAUUAUCAAAGUUUGAACUUGAAAUACUCCACGAGGUGUUAUGUAUUAUUUAUUUAUACUAUAAUUAAGCUCUUGAUUGAAUUGGUGUCAAGCCAACAAGAUACCAAUUCAGUUAGGAAAUGAUUAAAGGAUACAUCAUUUUUUACAAAAUGAUAAAUGUAACUACGAGGGCGUUCUAUUUUUUUUAUAUAUUAAAUAAAACAAAAAAUAAUUAUCCAUACAUGAUAGGAUUUAAACAUGAGGAUCAUAGAAUUCAAAGCUUUAAUCGUACCAUUUUGAUUUUCGACUAAAACCAUAUUUGGUUUUUAAUAUAAAUUUCUUAUAGAUAUUUUAUAUAUAUAUACAUGAUGGUAUUAAAAGCAUGCAUGAACCUUGAAUUUAACAUCUUUUAACUCUUAACCAACCUUUAUUUUUUUUCUUACAUAAAUGUUCAUAUCUUUCACUCAAAUUUGGAUUAUAUUGUGACACAUUAUACUUUUAAAGCCUAAAAUGCAACCCCAUUUCCUCAAAAUUGGACCAUAUUGUGGCACAUUAUGCUUUUGAAGUCUAAAAUGCAACCCCAUCUCCUCAAGAUUGGACCAUGAUGGCCUUGAAUUUUGAGAGAAGCAAGACAAAGGAGUCACCAAUAGAAGUUGAGUUUCAAUUAACAAUUAAGCAGCUACCUUUCCAACUUAUAAGAGUCGAGAUAUGUUAAUUAUUAUUUUUUACACUAAAAAUUUAAAAGUUAAAAUAUGCUCCAAAUUCUUAUAUUCUCUGUAUAUUUGAAAAUUAAUCUCCAUAUCUUUGUUUUCAAAAUUUUAGUCCUUUUAUUUUUCAGAUUUAAAAUUCAAGUCCAGUUAUUAGAACCAUUAAAAUUCAUAUGUUAGAUUCACUAUUAUGACAUAUUGAUAUUGCAAAAAAAAAAACAAAAAAAAAACUAAUUAACUUAAUAGCCAUGUCAUUGUACUACUAAGAUUUAAUAGAGAAUUUUAAUGAUGUUUACAAUAUUUAAAAUAUUCACGCUAAUAUUUUAAUCAAAAUAAAGUAUUUAGGUUAACUAAAGACAUUAUAAAAAGUUGAUAUACCAAAUUAUGUUAAAAAUUAAAGCAUAGAGGUAAAACUUUAAAUUUGAUCAUAAUAUAGGGAUCAAAACUAAAAUUUGACCAUUGCUAUAAAAUCUUAAAAAUAAAAAUAAAAAGAAUGUGUAUUUAUACCAUGAUAUUAUAAUAGUUGAAGUUUUGGAUUAUGCCAAAAAUUAAAAUAUAAAUUUCAAUUUUAUACAUAACAUAAGGACCAAAAUUAAAAUAUGGGUUAAAAUUGCCUUUGGUUUGUUGGAAAAUUACCAACACAAAGAUGGAAAAGCUAAUAAAGAAUCUUGCAUUAAUAAACAUCCCCAAAUUGAAGCAAUUAUUACAAAGUUCUUAGUGACUAGAAAUUUUUGAGUUAUUUAAGAAAGGCAAAAUUUACUAACAAUUCCUUACUUGAAAAGCUAAUUGAAAUAUCAGAUUUUGGAGGAACAUAUCAAAAAUAUUCACCACAAGUUGCUUCUAUUUCAGUCCCUAUAAGCAUCUUCCUCCAUACCCUGCAUUUCUAAAUAAUGCUUGCUUUAUAUCUUCACAACUUAUUAAUGUUCUCUGUUCCAAAUCCUGCAAUGUUAACCAAAAAAAGGUAAUUAAGAUUGCAAAUUUAAAAGUUAUGGAACAAAAAUGGUAAAAGUACUAUGGAAGACCUUGUAUUAGGAGUUAGAUCACAUUUUACUCUUUAUAUUAAAAAAAUAUACUAUUAGUCAUUGGACGUUAAAUCGAAGAGUAAACUAAUCAUUUUCUUAAAAAAUCUAUCCAUUAAUAUGGUUGAAAAUCCUCAAAAAAUAUUUUAUAAUUAUUUUAAAAUCACAUCUAAAAUGAAACAAGACAAACACUAGAAAUAAGUAGAAUUUUUAACAGAAUGACUAAGUUACUCUUUGAUUUAAUCAUUUGCACUAAUUUACCUAAUUUGUGAGUUGAUGAACAAACUGCAUUAAUCCUUGUAUUAAUGAUCAAAUUGCAUUUUUCUCUAUCUACUUAAAAUAAUGAGCAAGUUAAUCCAUGUAUGUUAGAUUAAAGAGUAAACUGAUUUUUUUAAAAAUGGCAUAAAUGUAAAUAAUGGACUAUCAUUUGUCAAAAUUCAUUUGACAUAGGGUUUUAAAUAGUGCUUCACAGUAAAAAAAAAUAGAUAGAAUUUUUAAUAAAAGGAUCUGUUUAUAUUUUAAUAUGAUGUACAAAGAUUAAUUUAUCUAAUUUUUAGUUAGAUAAUAAAAUAUAAAUCUUACUACUAAUACAAUUACCUACAUGAUAUUUUUACCGGAGAGAAAUAGUAAUAAAAUUUAUUUCCUUUUACCUGAGAACAAGAUGCUUGCAAUGCAAAAUCAUUGAAACAGCUAAUAACACACUGUUGAAUCUCAAGGCCUAAUGCUUCCAGUGUUGUCACUGUGGAUAACAACAACCCUGGUUUCCCACUGCAACAAAUCUCAAUCCUUGUCUCCCCUUCUCUUCUUUCCACCUCAAACUGCACCCAAAACAUGUUCAUCACUUCAUUUCAAGAUUUGGGUAUUAGAGAAAAUGGUGCAUUUUUAACCAAAAAAAUAAAAUAAAAAGAGCCAAUUACCUUUGGUGUAUUUCUCACAAAGAUCUCAUUUGAUUUCCCACCCUUGAAAAUGUGAGCCAUGUUUAACUCAUUUGAAUCUGUUUCAAUCUCUUGCUGCAAACUUUUAAUCCUCUCCAAUAGCUCCUUUGUAUAAUCUAUAGUAUCUCCAAGUAUAGAUGUUCUAUCCAUCUAUUAAGAAAAAACCCAAAUUAGUCCGAGAAUUUAUUCACACAUUUAUACAGGACGGGACUCGAAUUCUUUCACCUUGCUGAUCUUGGGAACAAUUGAUCUUAACAUGGAAAGGCGAUCAUUUAGUCUCUUUCUUCUCCUUCUUUCAGCCAUUAGAUUCUUUGAAGGUUGUUGUCCUUCCAUCUUCUUACCUCGGUUCUUCCUGUCUAAACAAGCAGCUGCCUCAUUGUUGAAAACUGGUGCUUCUGGUGAUUGAAAUGGCUCAGCUUUGCAAGGGACUUGAACAUCUAGCUUGUUAAGUUCAUCAGCAAGGAAACCAGAUUCUUCUUCUUCCAACAUAUUUGGAAAUGGAGGUGGUGUAUCAAAGGUGUUGUUUGAUGAAUCUGUGAGUUGUGGUGCUGAGAAUUCAUCGCCAAACGGGCAGUAAACUCCAUUGAAGUAACCCAAGUCUUGUUCCAAAGGCAAAGCUGUUGAGAAUUCAUGGCAGAAAGUAGUUGGAAACAAACUAGUUGAAAGGUUCAUAUCAUCAAAGCAAUCAAAGUUCCAUCCAUUAGAGAAAACUUCAUUCAUUUGUGUUGGAACUGUGUCCCAAUUUUCUCUUCUUAGAGCUAAUAAUUCCUCUAAGAAACUUUCUUCAUUGAUCUCCAUUUUUGCUUUUUCUCUCACUUUGGGAAUCGUGUCUAUUAUUAGGAGAUGCCUUGAGAAAAAGAAAGUCUCAACAAGUUGAGGAUUUUAUAGCUACAUAGAUUGAAAGUGGGGGAGUAUGAUAUAUCCAAUUUAUAUGAUUAUAGUAUGAUAUUUGUUGUAUUUAUUAGCCUAAGAGUGAAAUGGAAUCUGCCUUUUCCUUUCUUUGUAUGGGGUGAUUUCAUGUCUUUUUCACCGAAAUCUCUCCAAUAAUAAUGAUAUUAAAACCUAAUAUUUAAUUGGUAAUCCAUCUGAAACUUUGACCACAUUGUAUACAUGUAUCCGUCAGAAGUGAACAGCACCUUUCAAGUUCUUUCUACACGUGGGUUACCAUGUCAACAUUAUUAUAUAUAAUAUUAUUAAUCUACAAAUAAAUUUUUAAUAAUAUUAAUAAUUAUUUAAAUUAUAACAUAACAUUAAUAAUAAUAAAACCCAAUUAUAUGAAAUUAAAGUAUAAAUACUAAAGCGAAAAAAAGAAUGAUUAGUGGGGUCCCAUUUCCUUUGCCUCAAGAAAUUUGGCUUAAUCCACAAAUUCAAAGUUAGUUGUUAUGGCGUGUUUUGUUUCUUCUCAUCACUAAUUUUGGUAUUAUCUGCCCCAUUGGUUCUUUAUUAUAACAUAAUUAGCUAUAAAUCUGCCAUGUUUCUUGUUUUAUAAAAAAGGAAUGGGGACGUCUAUCCCAUUCUCAUCUCACCUGGUUUAACAAAUAUGAUAAGAAAGCUGAGGCCAAUAUAUAAACUGCAAGUGAACUGUUUGUUAAAGGGAUUGUUUUGGCUGAUGCAUAUGACUUUUAAUCAGUGCAUGAAUAAUAUGUAGACUCCACUAGUCAAUAGUGAUCUAUAGUCAUUAAUUAACUAUGUCUAGUGUUUAUAUUAGGCUGAUCUGGUUCACAAGGCUUGGCAUUUAUAUGCUUGUCUCCUCCUCUCCUCCUUUUCCAUUUCAUUUCCUGUCUUUUUGCCUCCUUAAUUUAGUCAACAGUUCCAUUUGUUUUUAAUAUAAUUUAACUUAACAUUUAAUCCAAUUUUUGUGGUUGUUUGUUGUGGAAGGGAGAUCAAUUUUGUUUGGAGAAGUCUGCAAACUGUUGUUUAUUGAGAUUUGUCUUCCAACUUUGUGAGUGCUUACAGAGGCGUCUUGACGAGGUGACAAGUUACAAAGUAAGAGUGCCUUGUCGAAAGCCUAAUAAGGUGAACCAUGCACAACACUAUAGGGCAUAGCUUCGAGUCCAACCAUGCAAAAUGCACAUGGUUUGCCUUAUUAGGCACCCGAUGAGGCGCUCCUACUCUAUGAAACUGUUGUGUUUCAAGUUACCUCUUCAAGCACUCAUAGAGCCAAGAAACAAAAAUCCCUCGCUGAGGACAAUAUUGACCUUUUGAGGGAUUCACUGACUCCUAUCGGGCGAUACUUCAUUGACUUUUUCUGAUAGAGUGUACUUCCCCUCUAUAUUUUAAAAAAAUUGAUAUCCGAUAAAUUUGAAGUUAAAAAAAGUGUAUCAUUAGUCAAUUAGGAAUAUAUUAUCUCUCUAGAAUUGAGAGCGUCUCUCUAUAGAGUUUUUUUUCUCAUUGUGAGAAGCAGUUAGAAGGUUGUUUUUUUUGUAUUGGGUAAUUCUAUUCUGAUUGCUUAGAGUUUUUUGCUUGAGUUUUAGGGUUAUUUCAGAGAUAAGAUAGGGGUGAAUGUGUAAGUUUUUUUUUAGGAUUUUUGUUUCACUAUUUAUUCAUUGUGUGGUUGAGUCAAGUUUGGUUUUUGAAUUUCUUUUUUGAGUCUUUUUCUUUUUCUUUUUCAAGUUCUAUUUUGAUAUUUUCUUGGAAUUAUUGUUUUUUAGAUCUACUAUUGACAAAGGGGAUAGAAAGGGAGCACUUUACUAUCCUCUAUCAAUUUGGGAAUCAAAUUAAAUCUUGAGGGAGGGAAUAGUUGUGGGAAUCGAAUUGGAACUAUUGGAUAAGGUGAUGUAGGAACUUGAUUUUUCAAAGGUAAGCAUAUGGAUUCAAAUCCAUAAUUUACCUUUAAAAACAUUAAUUGUGUAUAAUGUUGUUUUGAUUGGGGUAAGUAGGGAUUUGGUUAGGAUUGAUGGUGAUAUGUGGGGGGAAGGAUUGGGUAGAAAUUUUCUUAGAAUUCAAGUAGAUUUAAAUGUGAAUGAACCUCUAAUUCUAGGUUUCAAGUUCUCAGGAAGGGGAAUAAAAUGGUAUAGGUUUUGUAACACCCGUAACCCGUCUCCGUCACUGUAUUAGGGAUACCCGUCACCAGGCUGUGUGACUUUUGCUUUUCAAAUUUUGCAACUUUUUCUUAAACUUUCUGUUUUGUUUCAAAUUAGUCCCGAAUUACUUCUAAACUAUUUUUAGGGCCUUGAAGGCUCAAUUUAUGAAUAAAGUGCAUGUGAAUGAAUGAUUUAUCAUAUGUUUAAUUUAUUUAAAUAUUAUAAUGUUAAAUGUUUUUUAUUGUACGGUAAUGCUCUGUAACCUUAAUUCGACGAUAGAGACGAGUUAAAGGUGUUACAUUUAGUAGUAUCAGAGCUACGAUUUAUCUCAAUAUUUCACAUGUUCACAUGUUGUUAGUGUAGUAAGUAGAUACAUGGCCAAACCCGAAAAAUUACACUAGCAAGCUAUUAAGUGGAUUCUAAGAUAUUUGAGGGGGACAUCUAACACUUGUUUAGAACUUGAAAGAUGUUCAGAAAGUCUAGUCGGCUAUGUAGAUUAGGAUUAUGCCGGAGACUUAGACAAAAUGAGAUCUCUAACAAGUUAUUUCUUCACUUUUGUUAAUUGCACGAUUAGCUGGAAAGCCACCCUUUAGGCCAUUGUGACAUUAUUAACUACAGAGACAGAAUAUAUGGCUAUCACAAAAGGUUGUGAAAGAGGCCAUUUGGUUGAGAGGUCUAUUUAGGGAGCUGGUUGAUAAAAAUGACAAGACUAUUGCAUAUUGCGAUAGUUAAAGUACCAUCAAUCUCACUAAAGAUCAAAUGAAUCACGAAAGAAUAAAGCACAUAGACAUUCGAUAUCACUUUGUUCAGGAAGUGAUCGCUCAAGGAGAUGUUCAGAUGCACAAAAACGGCAUAGAAAACAACCUAACAGACAUGAUGACAAAAAGUCUUCCAAUUUCCAAGUUUAGGCAUUGCUUAGACUUGGUAAGCAUUCGAAAGAGAUGAGUUAGACCCCUGACGGGGCUCGACAAAGAAGGUGUUUUAGAAAUACGAGUCAAGGUAGAAAUAUGUGGAGUGUGCCUCGUAUUUGUGAUGAAACAGACAGUGGCGUCGUAACGAGAAAGAGUUGACGUCACAAUGACACGUCAACGACAUCUCGAUGAGAAAAGUCGCCUUGUCCAUGAUGACAUGAAGAAUGACAUCCUGACGAGGCAAUAUGCUAUGUCACAAUGUGUACUCAACUUAAUCGGGCUUCUUCUCAUCGUUAAGUACUGCUAUCUUUUCCUAAUCAAACUCUAAUCACUCUGGGAUAUUUCUAAUCAAAUUAGUCAUGAAUUUUAGUCUAUAAAUAGGCUUUUAGCAAUCCUCGAGGAUUUGAUUGAAAUUAAGAGAGAGUUUGUGGGAAUUUCAAGAAAACAUUGUAUUUUAGGUUCUGGGUUUGUUUAUUUCUCCAUCUUGUACUCUCUUUUUAGUUUUUUUCUAUUUUAGUGAAGCUUUUCUUUGCUCGUGGUUUUUUAUACUCUUCGAAAGGGUUUUUCAACGAAAAUAUUUAUGUUAGACUUUUAUUGUUUUUCGUUCUUAUUCGUUGCAUAAUUUGGGUUUAACCCAACAUGUUGUCUGUAGUUUGUAAAAAUUGAAUCAAAUUAAAAUUUUUUGGAUAAAAUUGCACAAAAUCAAAAUUCAUCUAUGACAUUGCACAUUGGACCAAAGUUUAUAUAUAAAUUUGAUAUUUAUUCCUUUUAAAGUAAAAUGAUUGAUUAAUUUCAAAAUUGGUUUAUAAAAUUUCUUAAAAAUUAAUAUUUAAUAAAUUUAAAAAUUAAAAUCAAGCUCCUCCAUUAAGAAAAGGGUUAUUAACAUUUCUAUUUUGGUCACCUAAUUAUGAAAGUUUUCAAUUUAGUUAUUAACGUUUUAGAUAAUUUUUAUUUAGGUCACUCACGUUUUAGAUCAUUUCCAUUUCGGUUGUCGAAACCAUUUUUAAAUCGAAUUUUGGAAAAUGAGAAUCGACUUUAAGAAAAACGAAAAUGGGAGUCGCCACCAAUCUUUUUAGGUAUGAUUGGAUCACCUUUAAAAUAUUUUGUUUUAAAAUCAUUAGUUUUGGUCUACGAAAUCAGAAGAUGGGUUCGGGAGCCGGUUACGUACGAGGAAGGGUUAGCACCCUCGUAACGCCCAAAAAUUGGUACCUAAUUGAUUAUCAAGUGUCUUUAAUGUCAGAAAUUUAAAAUUUUUAAGAUGUAAUCCUCUUUAAAAUAUUUUUAUUUUUUGUAAAUUGGAGUUCACCCGUAUCAAAGUAUUGACACUAAGUUAGCUUUUUAGAAAUCCCUAUCUCGAAACAACAAAACGUUACAUCCAGUAAGUUAGGACAUAUUGCUUUGCAAUUCCAAGACAGUUGCUCACAUUUUGAAAAACCUUGAAAAACUUAGAAAGUACUUGAUUAUUCGAACUCAACGAGAAAAGUCGCAACCCAAUAAGUUAGGGCACUACUUUCUUGAAAUUUCCCAACACCAAGCAUUGCCUUUAUAUUUUUGAAAACUUUGGAGCCUUGUUUUUUAAAAAUGAUGCGUGGGGAAUCGUAUUGUAUUAUAAAUCAUGCAUAGUAACAUAUUAUUGUAGUAGGUAAAUAAUACAUGCAUUUAAACAAAAUGAUGGCAAUAAUAUAAAGAUCGUGCAUUAGAUACAUAUAUAUAAAAAUAAUAUAUAUAUAGCAAAUAUUAACAAUAUGCAUACAAAGAUAUAUAUAUAGCAUGUAUUAGGAAUGAAUAAACAAAAUAUACAAACAUACAAAGUAAUAAUUAAAUAAUGCAUGAUAUACAAAAAGGUAAUAAUUAAAUAAUGCAUGACAUACAAAAAAAGAGUAAUACAAUAUCAAUGUACAUGUUCAUGAAAUGUAAUAUCAAAUAAUAAAUAUAAAAUAACAUAUAACACAUGACAUAUGCAAAAAAAAAUGAAAUGAGUUAUUGUUAACAAAAUAUACAUAUAAUACAAAUAAAGACAUCAUAUUUAAUAAUAAUCUUAAAAUAGUAGUUGCUAUACAAUAUAUAAAACAUAAUAACAAAAUAUUUAUAAAAGAACAAUAAUUAUAUAUAAACUAUAUUGGGUUUAAAAAAUAUAUAAAAUAAAAGUAUGUAAAAGAAUUUAUAAAAUAACACUUAACAUGAAAAUAUCAUUUUAAAAUAAUGUAUAAUAAAUAAAUAACUAAUAAUUUAAUAUGUGUAUAAUAUGAGUUAAAAAUAUAAUUUAAUUUAAAAUUUUAAAAAUUUUAAAUAAUAUAAUGAAUAAUAUAAACAUAAAUAAUAUAAUAGAUAAUAUAUGAUAUAUAUGACAUAUAAAAAAAUAAGUAAUAUAGAAUAAAAAUAAAAAUAAAUAAAUGUUAUAUAAUAAAAUAUAAUUUAAAUAUAUAAGAAAUAAGAAAUAUAAUAGAUAUAAUAUAAAAUAAUGAAAAUAUAUAUGUAAGAACAAUAUAUAUAAAUAAUUAAUAAAUAUAUAAUACAAGUAAAAUAUAAUAAUAAUAUAAAAAUAAUGAUGUAAAAUAAUAAUAAUAAUUUGUGAAAAAAAUAAUAUAUAAUAAAUAAUAAUAAUAUAUAUAAUAAAAUAAUCUUAUAAUGUAUAAUAUAAAAGUAAGGUAAAAAAAAUAAAACAAAUAACAAUAUAUAAAUAUAUAUAUAAUAAAAAUAAAUAUAGGGCUAAAUUUCAAGUUCAGCAAAAUUACGGGGCGAAUUUAAAAGAAAUAAAACUGAAUUAAGGCCUUAAUUAAAACGCGCGUAAAACAAAAGGGACUCAUUGGGCAAAUUGCCCUAUUCCCAAUAAGGCGACGUUUCCCAGAAUGUAAUUGAAUAACCGUUGGGACUAAAUUGAAACAAUUGUAAAAUAUGAGGGCCAAAUUAAAAAAUAGAAUAACACGUAAUUAUAAAUUAAAAGAGGUGGAAGGACCGAUUGGGUAAUUAACCCAAUUCUAAAAAUCACGCGAAUCCUCCCCGGGUAAUCGGGUCAACGCGCGAAUCCCAUGGCUUAAUACAAUACCGUUUUGAGCUUAUUAAGUUAAGCAGAAACGAUGUCGUUUCAAGGAGGCUAUAUAAGCCAAUUUUGCAGCUUAAAAAUCAUUUUAACAUCAGUCUUAAAAAAAGGUCUUGAAAUGCUCUACAGAAGGGAAGAGAGAGGUCCCCAGCUCUGGCCUCCGGCCACGGUGCAGUGCUUGCACACGCGCCUCACACGCCGUCGUACACGGUGGUCUGAAGGCUUAAAAACCCUCGUCCUUCCACAAGUAAUCUCUUUUCCCUUAAAUCCUUACUCGUACAUGCUAGAACAGUUCAUAUAUGUACAAAAUAAAGCACGAGAUAUGCGAUUAAAUCACUUUUUGAGAGACUGUUGGUAUUUCCUUAAACGAAUCUGUGUAAGUAUAUUUCUUUCUUCGUAAAAAAAAGGUCCCUUUACACUGUUUUGAUUCGGGCUUUUAUAGCCACUACUGUUAUUACAUAAACUGGGAAAGAAAUCGAAGAUUUCUUUCUAUUUCUUGUCUGCUGUAUCCCCCAUAUCUUUGAUUGUGAUCUGCUGAAAUCUUUUUAUUUUAGUUUCCUUUUUUGUUUUUUCGUAUCUGCUGUGUUUCCUUUUCUUUUGCAGGCACUUACGAGAAAUCUGGUGGUGACGAGGGCUAGUGUCGAUUCGCGCGUUGAUUUCGGAGGCAGAGUCACGGCGCUGAUGGGGGGUCACUGGAACGACAUGAGAGAUGAGCAGACGCGUCCGUUGAGAUGGCUUCUGGAAUCUUCCAUUUGCGGCGCGAGGAGAAAGAGCUAGGGUUAGAAACCCUAGCUGGUAACUUAAGUUUUAGGCCUCUGCUAUUUGGGUCUGAUUUAGGUUUGGGCUUCGGGUGUAUUUGGGUUGAGGUUGUAACUGUAAUGGGUUAAGGGUGUAAACGGGUUAAGGGAUAGUUUUAGGCCUGCUAGGUAGUAACCGGUCUGUUUGGUUAUAACGGGCCUGAAGUAUUUGGGCCAAAAGGGUUUGAGCUAAAGGGUAUUGGGUUAGUUUAGGGUCUGUUGGGCUGGUUAUUUUAUUUGGUUUUGUAACCUGGAUUGUUUAUAUUUUAAUGGACUUUAAUAAAUAAAUAUUUAUUUAUUUAUUAUUUUGCUUUUGGGUUUUAAAGCCCGGUUAAAUUUGGGCUACUACAUCGGUCACUCUCCGUUAAAUGGUUAACAGAAAUGAUGAUGUGACAUUUUUCUAAUUGAUAUAAUAACAUAUUUAGUGUUAAGUACUUACACAUUCUAUCAAUUUAAUUCUAAUUCUAAAUAAUUCAACAAAUUUAACCCUCGACAUUUACGAAUUCUAUCAAUUUGAUCCUAAAAAAUAUUUCAUAAAAAUCUAAAUAAAUAAUUAUAUUAAUUUAAAUAAAAUCUAAUUAAAAAUUUAUAUUAUAUUACUCUCUCUCUGUGGGGGAAGGUUUCGGAGGGAGAGGAAAUUUUUUAUAUUUUAUUUAAUAUUAAUAUAAUAAAAACUUUUAAUUAGACUAUGUAAAUAUUAAUAUAAUUUUUUAUUUAAUUAGAUUUUAAUGACAUGUAUUUGAGGAUCAAAUUGAUUGAAUGUAUAAGUAUUAAGAACUAAAUGUAUUAUUUUACCAGUUAGAAAAAUGAUACAUCAUCAUUUCUACUAACCAUUUAACAAAGAGUCAUCGAAAUAGAAAUAAUUUAAAACUUGAAUGAUUAAAAUAGAACUGAUCUAAAAAGUUAGUAACUAAAUUGAAAGCUUCCAUAAUUAGAUGACCAAAAUAAAAAUACGCUAAUAAUUAGAUGAAUAAUUUUAUAAUUUACCCAAAAAGCAGACCAAAGGGUCAUUGUGAUAAUCUAAAAAAUUGUACUAGUUUUCAUCGAAACUUGCAAGCAUAAAGCGGUAAAAUAAAUCUGUGUGCCACCGUCCUAAAAGAAAGUAGAUGAAAAAUAUAAAUCUGUGGUGAAAGUGACGAGUGAAAUUUCAAGAUUGACACUGACCAAUCAACAUAAAACCCCACAAUAUGGGCUAAUUUGUAAUUAUAUUUCAUCAUUCUAUUUAAUCAUCAUCUUUUUCCAUCUUUUUCUUUAUCUAGUUAUUAUUAUUCUGUCGAAAGUUCUAAUAUUUAAAUUAUUAUAUUAAAUUAAUAAACAUUUUAAAUUUAUUUUAUUUAAAAAUAAAAUCAAAACGUAGGUUUUUAUAUUAAGAUUCAGAGUAUAUUUUAUUUUUUUAUUUAAAAAAAUAAAAAAAUUAAUUUUUAUAUGUUAAAUAAAAAAUAAUUUAAAUUUUUUUAUUAAAAUAUUUAUUUAUUUCUAUCGUUAAAUUUUGACAUAACUAAUAAAAAAAACAUACUACUGUAUGUGUAUGUCAUUCUGACACAAUCUGACAAUGCUACCAUGAAACAUGUUAAACAUUUUAUUGGUACAUAAUUAAGACAAAUUAAGUUUUGUAGUAAUUAUUCAAGAUUAAAAAAGUUUUUGUAGUAAUUAAAUUAAGUUGAGACAAAAUAAAACAGAAUAUACUCCCUAUAUGCUUGCAUGAAAACGUGCGACGACCAAACAACUAUACUAACUGUUGUUUCCUAAUUACUCAAAACAAAAGACAAACUCUCAAUUUUCAAGCAUAAGUUUAAGAAAUUUAAUCCAUAAUUAAGAAAUCAUAGUCACGUGCUACAUUUUUACAUAUUCUCUUAAAUUUGUAACUUUUUAUAGUUGAGUGGCUAAAAAAAAUAAUCAUAAUUGAGUGACCUAUACUGCAAUUUACCCUAAAAAUAAAAGAUUAAAACAUACCUAUAUAAUGACUAAAUUUCAAAAUUUUAAAAAUUAUAAGGUUUUAACAAAAAUAAAAAUAAUUAGAGAAGAGAUCUAUGGUAAAUAUGUCUUAAAAAGUGUUGAAAGUACCAAUAAUAAUGCAGGAGUGGGGUAGAUAUAGUCCAGCACGUGAAAUUCUAACAAUAACACGUGUCAGAUAUAUAGAUCCCCACGUGGUAAUGUACGAGAUCUCCCUAAAAUAUUGAUCCAUCACUCAUUCCAUUUCCCCAUGCAUGUUCUUCUUACCCAAAAAAGGAUGGUGGUUUAAUCCAGAAAUAAAAAUAAAUAAAUUAAUAUAAAUAUUUUCUUUUACAAUUAUUAAAUAAAUUAAUCAUCUGAUAAAGUUUUAUAACAACAUGCAUAAAGAAGCUUGGAUAAGUACAUUUUUUAUAUUAAUAAAUUAUGUCGGCUAGCAAAAUAAAUAAAAAAAGGUUUUAUUGUUCUUUUUUUGUAAAAUGUAAUAUAUAUAUAUAUAAAAUGUUAGCAUAUGCAAAAGAAAAGUUGGUUUUUGUGUUGAAUGUCUUAUCUAUCCAUCUAUCGAAAAUCAUCACGGGAUGAUACAUUAUUCUUCACUUUUUGUUUUUCAUUAUUUCUUAUAUUUUUUGUUUGAAAAUUUUUCUCUACUUACAUAUAUUAUAUAAUUAUUUCAUCAAUUUUUUGAUUGAGUUAUAUCUCGAUUAGCACGGGCAUUGUUGUCAAUACAGGAAGACAUGAGCUCGAAUAUACUGAAGCACACUAUCCUCCUAUUUAUGAGUUGAGGAGCGGCUAUGGAUAGUUUUAGGUAAGGGCGAAACUAGAAAAUCUUUUUAGGGGCCGAAAUUAAAUUGUAAUUUUUGCGAUAGCAAAAAUAUAAUUUUACCAUUUUAAUAGCCUAUAUCUUUAUAAUUUUUAAAGGAUUAAAUCAUUUUUUUAUAUUUUUAAGGGGUCAAAGUACAACUUUACAUUUACUAAUAUAAAAUUUUAAAGGGCCUAACUGAAAAUUUUACCAUUUUAUGGGGAUCGGGGCCCUUGCCAGCCCCUAAUUUUGCCCUGAUUCCAGUCAUUGUAUUAAAAAGAGCAAAUAUGAUCAAAGCUUAUAAUGAUAUUAUUAAAUAUAUAUAUAUUUCAUCAAUUCUCUUUGAUGCACUUUAAUUUGCAGAAGAAAUGAAAAUAACAUUGAAAAUACUUAUUAAGAUUUUUUUUUAAAUACUCAUUCAAAUCGUCGUGAUAAUUUAUUUUUUCUAUUAGAAUUAUACGUAUGCAUUUGAUUGAAAUAAUUAACAAUAUUAAUUAGACUAAUUAAUUAUAUUAUAAAAGUAGAUAGGGUAAAUUAUGUCAAAACUUAAAGUAUAUAGAUUAAAUGUCAAGUUUCAACCUAGUGUAGAGGCCAAAAUUGAAAUUUGACCAUUGUAUUAUGAUGUAAAAAAUGACACAAAUCUAAUAGAAAUGGGAAGCUGCGUGUCAAACUAUAAGACUCUUAGGGUACUCAAAUUAUAAAUAACCACGUACCAAUAUUAAUUAUUUGGACUAAUUAAUAAUAUUAUAAAAACAUAAAAAUUAAAUUAUGUUAAAAAUUAAAGCAUAUAGAUUAAAUAUCAAAUUUAAGCUAAAAUUUAACCGUUUUUAUAAUAUGCAGAAAAAGAAAAGAACAAAGAAAGAAAAAUAAUUUGCUGUGACACCUAUAUUAAAUAUAAAUUUAAAUCUAAAUUUACUUUUUUUUUUUGAAGAAUCUUAUUAUAAGAUCGGAUAAUAUUUGUUCUUUUUGAGACAAUGCCUAUAACUAGUCAUAAUUCCUCCCCAAUUCAUAAAUAGAAGGAUAAUGU